rnacentral:tRNA from 1 species
ACUUAAGUAGUUUAAGUUAAAAUAUCGAUUUGUGAUAUCGAGGAUGUAUAAUAAAUUUACCUUAGGUU